UGAGGAAUAUUGGUCAAUGGGCGAGAGCCUGAACCAGCCAAGUAGCGUGCAGGACGACGGCCCUAUGGGUUGUAAACUGCUUUUAUGUGGGGAUAAAGUGCGUGACGUGUCAUGCAUUGCAGGUACCACAUGAAUAAGGACCGGCUAAUUCCGAGCCAGCAGCCGCGGUAAUACGGAAGGUCCGGGCGUUAUCCGGAUUUAUUGGGUUUAAAGGGAGCGUAGGCUGUCUAUUAAGCGUGUUGUGAAAUUUACCGGCUCAACCGGUGGCUUGCAGCGCGAACUGGUCGACUUGAGUAUGCAGGAAGUAGGCGGAAUUCAUGGUGUAGCGGUGAAAUGCUUAGAUAUCAUGACGAACUCCGAUUGCGCAGGCAGCUUACUGUAGCAUAACUGACGCUGAUGCUCGAAAGUGCGGGUAUCAAACAGG
rnacentral:rRNA from 1 species